AUGACGGUGCGUGAUCGCCAGCACCGCAUCCUGGCCAGAGUGCCGCGCACCCGCAACAGGCUCUACAUCGCCCGUCUACAGCUUGCCAACCCCGUCUAUCUCGCUGCGCACUCCGGGGAUGAGGCGUGGCGUUGGCACGCGCGCUUCGGGCACCAACACUUCGACGGCCUCGAGCGGCUGGCACGUCAGAACAUGGUAAAGGGCAUGCCCCUCUUCCACCACUCCGAGCAGGUUUGCGACGCCUGCCUAGUGGGCAAGCAGCGGCGAGCGCCUUUCCCUCAGCAGGCUAACUACCGCGCCACCGAGCCGCUUGAGCUUGUGCAUGGUGAUCUUUGCGGGCCUAUCUCGCCGCCCACUCCGGGCGGCAAGCGUUACUUCCUGUUGCUUGUGGAUGAUCACAGCAGGUUCAUGUGGUUGUACCUGCUCCGGAGCAAGGACGAGGCAGCCGAGGCGAUCCAGCGCUUCCAGGCACACACAGAGCGCGAGACGGGGCGGAAGCUGCGCACUUUCCGCUCUGACCGAGGCAGAGAGUUCAACUCCGGCGAGUUCAGCGCACAUCUUGCUGAUCUUGGGGUCCAAAGGCACCUCACCGCGCCAUACUCGCCCCAACAGAAUGGCGUGGUGGAGAGACACAACCAAACCGUCGUCGGGACGGCCCGGUGCAUGCUCAAGGCGAUGGGGGUGCCGCCGCAAUUUUGGGGCGAGGCCGUGUCCACGGCCGCUUUCGUGCUCAAUAGGGCAUACUCCAGAAGCGUACCGGGCAAGACGCUGUUCGAGGCCUGGCAUGGCAGGGAGCCCUCUGUCGACUUCUUGCGCGUGUUCGGCAGUGUGGCGCACGCCAAGAACACGCGCCCACACCUCUCCAAGCUUGAGGACCGGAGCAAAGCCAUGGUGAUGAUCGGGUACGAGCCAGGGAGCAAGGCGUACCGGCUCUACGACCCUAUGGGCAAGCGAGUCCAUGUCUCACGUGAUGUCGUCUUCGACGAGACGGGAGCAUGGGACUGGGAGAAGAGUGGCAUGGACCGGGCAGGUAUGAGCUUUACAAUUGAGCCCAUGUCAAUCCUCACCGGCAGUCCGUCAUCUGCGGCAUGCUCCCCCUCAUCGCCUGGCGCCCCGCGAUCACCCGCUCAGUCCGCGUCCUCGUCAAGCACGCCAUCCACAACAACAGUAUCG
rnacentral:rRNA from 1 species